rnacentral:rRNA from 1 species
GGGGAUAGCCUUUCGAAAGAAAGAUUAAUAUCCGAUAGUAUAUUAAAACCGCAUGGUUUUACUAUUAAAGAAUUUCGGUUAUCGAUGGGGAUGCGUUCCAUUAGUUUGUUGGCGGGGUAACGGCCCACCAAGACUACGAUGGAUAGGGGUUCUGAGAGGAAGGUCCCCCACAUUGGAACUGAGACACGGUCCAAACUCCUACGGGAGGCAGCAGUGAGGAAUAUUGGUCAAUGGACGAGAGUCUGAACCAGCCAAGUAGCGUGAAGGAUGACUGCCCUAUGGGUUGUAAACUUCUUUUAUAUGGGAAUAAGGUAUUCCACGUGUGGAAUUUUGUAUGUACCAUAUGAAUAAGGAUCGGCUAACUCCGUGCCAGCAGCCGCGGUAAUACGGAGGAUCCGAGCG